rnacentral:lncRNA from 1 species
AUGAUAUCUGUACGGUGGCUGCCUUUCAUGGGGGUGAGUUCUGAGAGGAGACAUGCCAAUGUACAAAUGUUUAUCAAGCUUUUGUUUGUAUUACAGGCAGUUUUGAACAUCUGGAGGCCUGAUUUAUUGGAGAUUGCAAAUGUACGGUGUAACAUAGCUGUGGAGAGCGAGAAGAUCAGGAUUGUCAAUGCUGUCAUUGCUUUUACUGGAAUCCCCAGCACGAAUUGAAGGAAUUCUACUAGUGCAUGUGGAGAGAAACAUGGCUGCUGCAUGGAGUCAUAAACCUCAGAGAAGCUGAGAAUGAGAUGAAAUGUAUAUGUAACCCUUGUGUAUGGCAAGUUUGGCAAGAAAUAAAAAGCAUACUUGGCAGAUUAAGAUAAGGUUUCUCUCUGUUUACUGAUAUAGUCUCAGGUUUGCAUUGUGUGAUGAAUAAUAGGUUGGGGGAAGAUAUCCUUUGUUUAUUCAUUCAUUUCAUCAACAAAUAUUUAAUGAGUACCUACUAUAUGCCAUGCCACAAAGAGUAUAAACCUAGAGACAGAAUGUUGAGUCACAUAGACAGUGCUCCUGAUACAAUUAUUUGAACUGAGUUAACAAUACUUCAAGGUUCCAUGUCUAAUUUACUGGCUAGGUUCUCAACAAAAUUUCUGGAUAAGUUAUUUGGCAAUAGAUGAACUUCAAAUGAAUCUCUUAUCUUCAUUAUCACAGAGAAUGAGUUGUCUGGAAUAUUGGAAAUUCACUGUGCUGUCCAAAUUUUCUAAAGCUAUACUUUGUGAAAUCCCCAAACAAUAUGGAUACAUACUUGUCUCGUUCUGCUCUUUGCACCUACAAUUGAUACACUAAGUGUGCUAUUUGCUACUUGUUUAAAGAUUUGUGCAUGUGUGGACUUUUUUGUGUAUUAACCACAAGUAAUGUUUUAAAUUGCUAUUGAGAAAUAAUGUGAG